AAGUCGUAACAAGGUAUUCGUAGGUGAACCUGCGAAUGGAUCAUUAACACUAAUGAACCCAAAAUACCCAAAACAACAAACAAGGUCAGCCACGAAAUUCGUGCAGAAAUGCAUGUCCGAGUGUUUGAUCUGAGAACUUGGUGGGAAGAAGGAUUGAACAGGUGCGCGCUUUGUGUGCUCCUUGUUGAAUUCUACUUCCUUCACAAUUUUCUAUAUUCAAUCUUAUUCAAACAACCAAUUCCAAUCAUCAGAACUUGCCUUUUAUUAGGCACUGGCUCUGUUUCUAAAACCAAGCCUUCAACAACCGUUCACGGUUUUGUUGUUGGAUACAUUAACAACAAUUGAAUACAACUCGUUGCAAUGGAUAUCUUGGUUCUC
rnacentral:misc_RNA from 1 species